GACGAACGCUGGCGGCGUGCUUAACACAUGCAAGUCGAACGAAGUGGCGAACGGGUGAGUAACGCGUAAUCAACUUGCCCUUCAGAGGGGGACAACAGUUGGAAACGACUGCUAAUCCCCAUUACUGAUGGACGAGAUGGAGGCUGAUUAGCUAGUUGGCGGGGUAACGGCCCACCAAGGCGAGGAUCAGUAGCCGGGCUGAGAGGAUGACCGGCCACAUUGGAACUGAGACACGGCCCAGACUCCUACGGGAGGCAGCAGUGGGGAAUCUUCCGCAAUGGACGAAAGUCUGACGGAGCAACGCCGCGUGAGUGAUGACGGCCUUCGGGUUGUAAAGCUCUGUUAAUCGGGACGCGGUACCGGAAUAGAAAGCCACGGCUAACUACGUGCCAGCAGCCGCGUAAUAC
rnacentral:rRNA from 1 species